UUAUGUCUUCGCAGCAGGUUAUUAAACCCCAUUAAACUAAAUUGGUGACCUUGAGAACUUAUCUGCAGGGUGUCUUAGCCAGGGGGUUAUAAUUAACCCUUGGAUCAUUUUCAGCUGGUCGGUGAGAGCUUUUGGAAGCUUAACUUGAGCAGGAGUGAGGCCUCGUGAGGCUGAUUUGGGACCCUUGUAAAUUGAUUUGGAGAUUAGUACGAGAGCCAUCUACAGGAGAGUCUAGGGAUCGUGGCAAGGGAGUCACGUCUAGUUAGACAUUGCUAGGGGUAUGCUAGUCGAUCACCUUGC